GACGUAGGGCGCGAGCGUUGUCCGGAUUUAUUGGGCGUAAAGAGCUCGUAGGCGGCUUGUCGCGUCGUCCGUGAAAACCCACAGCUCAACUGUGGGCUUGCGGUCGAUACGGGCAGGCUGGAGUUCGGUAGGGGAGACUGGAAUUCCUGGUGUAGCGGUGAAAUGCGUAGAUAUCUGGAGGAACACCGGUGGCGAAGGCGGCGUCCUGGACCAACACUGACACUGAAAAGCGAAAGCCAGGGGAGCAAACGGG
rnacentral:rRNA from 1 species